rnacentral:tRNA from 2 species
GCUCCCGUAGCCCAACGCAGAGGCCGCCGCUUUAAACCCGGCGUCAGUGUGAGUGCGAGCCUCACCGGGAGCA